ACUAAACGUAAAACGCAAUUUCUGUAACCAUAUUUUCUUUGAGGAAUUUUGCAGCUGCUGGUAAAAUUGGGGCAAAGUGUUCACGGUAAGCAAAUCGUUCAUCGAUCUCUGAUUAAGCUAGUAAACUCUAUUUGUUCAUUUCAGAACUUGGCCACCAACCGUACCGUAUCCUUCCGGCAUAAAAAACUACUUUGCCAACGAACCGCAGUUUCUAAAUCGAUUUGCUUAGUGGUUUUGUUCCGGAGAUAAUAAGCAACAGCAAAACUUGAUGGAGAACUCCGCUUUUGGCAUCGGAAAUGCAACUUCGAAAAGCUUUUCAUCGUUUAAAAUCCGCUGCCAAUCAUCAAAAUGGAAAUGAACUAGCGCAUGCUUCACCAAGAGGAUUCCAGAUAAACCUCCUACCAUCGAACAGCAGAACAUCCCAUUCGAUACAGUGGACCUUCCGAUGAAAGUUCCGGAUAGACUAUCAUUUCUCCAACUUAGUACCCGUCUGUAUAAUUUUCCGGACAACGUCACCCACUUCCACUAGGCAUCCUCCAGAAACAUCAUCCGGACCGAAAAACUACGCUGGGAGCGAGUACUUUAAAUAGCUCCGCUGAUGAUGACCAAGAAAACACUGCCCCAACGUCCCCCGGAAAAUUGUUGUUUAAGUAUUUAUUCUCGUGUUUAUUAUAUUUAUGAUAAGUUUUAUUUGGUUAAAAAUUAAUAAACUUGAUUUUUUUUAUUCAUCUACAGUUUAUUUUUAAACGUAAACAAAAAUGAAUGACACUACUGCUGAACUACGCGCAUAGUUAAUUGAACCAUAUUACGAUAGUCAAACUUACCAUGCCGCUUGUCACACGCAUGGUAAAAUGAACUAUGAAAACAGACUUGAAAAUACCAUAAAAUGUAAAUAAAAAAUGACAUGGUAAAUUGAACCCUGCACAUGGUAGUUUCAAAAAUAAAACAUGGUCUACCAAAAUCAA